rnacentral:rRNA from 1 species
UACAGAGGGGGCAAGCGUUAUUCGAAAUUAUUGGGCGUAAAGGGCGCGUAGGCGGCUUUGCAAGUGACGGGUGAAAGCCCUCGGCUUAACCGAGGAACUGCCUGUCAGACUGUAAGGCUUGAGACCGGGAGAGGUGAGUGGAAUUCCCAGUGUAGCGGUGAAAUGCGUAGAUAUUGGGAGGAACACCAGUGGCGAAGGCGGCUCACUGGACCGGAACUGACGCUGAGGCGCGAAAGCGUGGGGAGCAAACAGG